UGGGGAAUUUUGGACAAUGGGCGAAAGCCUGAUCCAGCAAUGCCGCGUGCGUGAAGCAAGGCCUUCGGGUUGUAAAGCACUUUUGUCCGGAAAGAAAUCCUUGGCUCUAAUACAGUCGGGGGAUGACGGUACCGGAAGAAUAAGCACCGGCUAACUACGUGCCAGCAGCCGCGGUAAUACGUAGGGUGCAAGCGUUAAUCGGAAUUACUGGGCGUAAAGCGUGCGCAGGCGGUUUGCUAAGACCGAUGUGAAAUCCCCGGGCUCAACCUGGGAACUGCAUUGGUGACUGGCAGGCUAGAGUAUGGCAGAGGGGGGUAGAAUUCCACGUGUAGCAGUGAAAUGCGUAGAGAUGUGGAGGAAUACCGAUGGCGAAGGCAGCCCCCUGGGCCAAUACUGACGCUCAUGCACGAAAGCGUGGGGAGCAAAACAGGAUUAGAUACCCUGGUAGUCCACGCCCUAAAACGAUGUCAACUAGUUGUUGGGGAUUCAUUUCCUUAGUAACGUAGCUAACGCGUGAAGUUGACCGCCU
rnacentral:rRNA from 1 species